UUUAAUGAAAUUUUACUUAUAAAAAAAGUAGAUUUUAUCAGUUUCAUUUCUUUAGAUUGUAAUUAUUGAACAUUGUACUUUUUUAGGUUAUAUGUCCUGUGUACAAGGGGUGUUCCUCUUACAAAAAAAAUUGCAUAUCAAUUAUAAAUAAAAUGAUGUUGCAUGACAUUCUGUUCGUUCCAUUAUUUAGUGCUAUUUUUUUGAUGGUAUCUUUAUAAUUAUAACUAACUUAUGUUGUGUGAAUAAUAUUUAACAGUGUGACAAUUACUCGUACAUGGAUAGAAACUUCAAUUCCUCGGAAACAUGGACCUGCUAUUGCUAGUUAUGAGUCGGUAUGGUUAUUAAGUUAUAGGAAAUUAUUAUCUCUUAUUUCAAGGCCUUUAUCUCCAAUAUUUCAUUCCAGCAAUUUGACUGAGAAUCUUUUUGUCUUGCAAGAUCUGAAUAAGUUCUUUGAGAAUGUGUUACAGGCUUUCUUGAAGCAUGUUGAUUUUGAUGUUGUCCGCUGUGCUGUGAUUGCAAGUCCUGGUUUCACAAAGGAUCAGUUUCAUCGUCACUUAUUGUUGGAUGCAGAAAGAAGAAAGCUGAGACCUAUUAUCGAGAACAAGUCACAGAUGGUUCUUGUGCAUACAACAUCAGGAUACAAUUGAAAGAAGAAGUAAAGCACCUCAGAAGCAUGCCCGAACAACAAGCUAUUCAAAUGGCAGAACAAAGAAGACAUUUUGAGGAACAACAAGCUAGUCAAAUGGCAGAACAAAGAGCACAUUAUGACAAUAUGAUGAUGCAAAUGUUGAGUUAUAUCACCUCGCAAUCAGCCCAAUCUAGUAGUGAUCACUAAGAUUUUUUCUGCUUCAAGGUUGGAUAUACCCAGUGCUUGGCAAUUGCCGCAGAAACUUGAGGGCACCCAUAAUGGCUGAAAUGUUCAAUUGUACUAGCUGAUAACUUCUUGCUUUGGAGAUGAUGAUGAAGAAUAAAAUGUAUCAAAACUUUUAACUAUUGGACAUAUUUGGUCUUUAUACAAAUUGUGGUUGUUGAUAUCUUUUCUCUUAAAAAAUAAUUGACAUAUUGGCAGUUUGUAUGUGGCCCAUAAUCUGUUAAUUUGUAGGUUUGAGUUUAGAGAUCAAAGAAAGUGUAAUUGUAGCAAUAUAUCACUUUUGCUAUACAUCAAUAUCAUAGCAUAUCAUCUCAACAAUUGUGAAUUU